CCUACGGGAGGCAGCAGUGAGGAAUAUUGGUCAAUGGGCUUACGCCUGAACCAGCCAAGUCGCGUGAGGGAAGACUGCCCUAUGGGUUGUAAACCUCUUUUGUCAGGGAGCAACGCCGGCUACGUGUAGCCGGACUGAGAGUACCUGAAGAAAAAGCAUCGGCUAACUCCGUGCCAGCAGCCGCGGUAAUACGGAGGAUGCGGGCGUUAUCCGGAUUUAUUGGGUUUAAAGGGUGCGUAGGCGGAAUGCCAAGUCAGCGGUAAAAUCGCGGGGCUCAACCUCGCUCCGCCGUUGAAACUGGCGGUCUUGAGUAGGGGAGAGGUAUGCGGAAUGCGUGGUGUAGCGGUGAAAUGCAUAGAUAUCACGCAGAACUCCGAUUGCGAAGGCAGCAUACCGGCGCCCAACUGACGCUGAAGCAUGAAAGCGUGGGUAUCGAACAGGAUUAGAUACCCUUGUAGUC
rnacentral:rRNA from 1 species